rnacentral:lncRNA from 1 species
UGCACAUUGCAGACUCUAAGGAAGAACUUUUUGAGAAAAGAGGGAGUAAGCGGGUACCACGGACGGUAAUAAACCCUUCAGAUAUUGAAAUUGAAGAUGAAGAUUCCAACCUGCAGCUGCCAGCAGCAGGCAGCAAACAGACUGCAAAACAGGCAAACAAAAAAUCCAAGCAGUGCCAGGCAGCAUCUAAGAGUGCUGCUUAUGAUGAAAUUCUGAAAGAGCAUGUCUCAAGUGCCCUAAACAAAAAUAAGGCAGCUCGAGUUUCUCAAGUAAGUAGCAUUAAAAUAUACACUUCUCACUUGUUUUCAGUACAAUUGUACUCCUUACUCUCUCUUUUUUGUGCACAGGCGUCAACAAAAAGGCACACUGAGGAUGAAGAAGAAGCUGUCACGAAUAGAGAGAGAAAACUGAAGCGCAUAAGAGUGGAGGCGUGUCAAAGGCAGGAGCCCUAUGAAGACGUAUUAAAAGAAAGGAAUGAAUUGCGACAAAUCGUCGCCACGAUGACACAAAAAAUGGAUUGUAAGCUUUCAGCGAUACUAGAAAUGCUGCAGUCAAGCGCCCCGCAGCCCCAGAGAGCGCAAGAGUCCCUAACAGGUAAAGGACACAAAGCACAUGAAACAUCCAUGUUGCAAAACCUUUUUCCUUUAUCAAAAUGCUGAAUCCUCAGUUGAGAAUUGCAGUUUAUCUGAAGAGUAGCCUCAGUGGAUUUUUUUACCUGCACCUCUUGCUUUUGAACAGUCAGGUGCUCAUGUCAGGAUAGAUAAAAUAAUACCUGCAGUCAUUGCUCAUAACAAAUACUCAUCACAAGAAAUUAACAGUUUUUCGGUUCAUGACAAUGCACCUAGCUUUAUUGAGAGAGGGCAUUUUCUGUUCAUGAUAUUCUUCUGUAUUGUAGGUGCUGCUUCUGAAUGGGAACAUGAACAUUCUUAUGACGACCAAGAGCGCAGAGACAAAGAAACGCAGCACACAGGCCGCAAACCAAUGCCACUGGCUACGCUCCAGCCACUGAAAGCCCAGCCAACCCCAGGCACU